GACGAACGCUGGCGGCGUGCUUAACACAUGCAAGUCGAACGGAAAGGCCUGCUUUCCCUUGUGGAUUGCGGGUACUCGAGUGGCGAACGGGUGAGUAACACGUGAGUGAUCUGCCCCCAACUUGGGUAUAAGCCUGGGAAACUGGGUCUAAUUCCCGAUAGGACUGCAGGGUGGUGCCUGUGGUGGAAAACGAUUUUCUAGUGGUUGGGGAUGAGCUCGCGGCCUAUCAGCUUGUUGGUGGGGUAAUGGCCUACCAAGGCGGCGACGGGUAGCCGGCCUGGGAGGGUGGACGGCCACGUUGGGACUGAGAUACGGCCCAGACUCCUACGGGAGGCAGCAGUGGGGAAUAUUGCACAAUGGGCGGAAGCCUGAUGCAGCGACGCCGCGUGGGGGAUGACGGCCUUCGGGUUGUAAACUCCUUUCGACCGCGAGGAAGCCACCUGGUUGGAAGGGUGGUGACGGUAGUGGUAGAAGAAGCACCGGCUAACUACGUG
rnacentral:rRNA from 1 species